AACGUAGGAGCCAAGCGUUAUCCGAAUUCACUGGGCGUAAAGCGCGUGCAGGCGGCCUGGUAAGUUGGAUGUGAAAUCUCCCGGCUCAACUGGGAGAGGCCGUUCAAUACUGCUGGGCUAGAGGGCGACAGAGGGAGGUGGAAUUCCGGGUGUAGUGGUGAAAUGCGUAGAUAUCCGGAGGAACACCAGAGGCGAAGGCGACCUCCUGGGUCGCACCUGACGCUCAGACGCGAAAGCUAGGGGAGCGAACGGG
rnacentral:rRNA from 1 species